rnacentral:tRNA from 1 species
CGCGGGGUGGAGCAGCCUGGUAGCUCGUCGGGCUCAUAACCCGAAGGUCGUCGGUUCAAAUCCUGCCCCCGCAA